AUGAGAGGCAUGUCAUCAGGCAAGUGUAAGUCCAACUUAAAGCCUAGUGUGAGAUUGAAACAAUAAAAGUCCAACUAUUCCAAGUGUUCCAAUAAUGAUGGCCACUUCUAGAGAAUAGAUAAAUAUCACAUAAUGUAGCUCUUAUUUAGAACUUUUGUCUACUUCCAUGGGGAAUACCAUUUUGAAUAGCUCAUUACUAUUUUUUGGUUACGUUUAUUUUGAUGGAAACUCAUGUUCUGUAAAAUUGUCAAGCUUAGUUACAGGGCACUAAUUACCUUUCUUGAAGCUCAUGAAGAUGCCUUUCUUGAAUUUACUACUAUUAGUGUUUUUAAUGAUGUUCUGUUAGAUCUCAUGAAGGCUUCAUUACUAAACUUUUGAAAUAACUAGAUAAGAUUUGGAUUAGAUUCUAAUUAAGGCACUUUGAAAAAGUAAUAACUAAUAAGGAGGAGAAAUGUCAACAAAUUUUCUGUUGCUUCAUAUAGUGAAGAUCUAAACUCUAUAGAAACAAGUAGUUUGAGACAAACAUAAUUAAAAUUUACAUUUUUCCAUGAAAAAUUUGCAGCCUUCCAAAUGGGGACUCCCAACCAAACUAAUGAAUUGACUAAUGAAAAACUUGUUGUGAGUUGACUUGAUAUUACAACUCACAACCAAACUAAUGAAUAAUUUUAUUUAUUCUAUUAUAACACAUUUUAUUCACAAUAAUAAAGAUUACUAUUCCUGUUGUAAUCCACAUUUAGUGUACUAAUUGUGCCUUAAUGAAUAUUGUUGUCCAUUUAAAUUUAUUUAUUCUAUGAAAUGUCUUUCCUUUGACUCAAGAUAUUUACUUGGGGGUUAAAAUAAAAACCUUGGACAACUGGAAAUACCCAGUCUCUUUGUUUUCCACCAAAAAAGAUAGAUAAACAAAUACAGUAUCUCUGAAAGGAAGAAGUGCCACAGAAAUUUGUUACUAAAUAGAACUCCUCACCAAAUGGUACCGUUCUUUUGAACUCAAACAAACAUUCCCUCUUGCUCCAUAUAAAUCCACCACAAACACUCUUUCUUCAAAGUGAAAUGCAGCCUAACGAUUCUCAACCACACCCUUUGGGCAAACCUAUACGUUCCUUAUUUACUCGAAGAAUUAAAGGGUUGGUUUAAAGGUACAAUCUUUGUAAAUUCAUACUAUACACACGGAUUGGGGAGUUCCUAUUUUGAAGGCUGCAACUUCUUUCUUAACGAACUGGCAUUGUUCUUUUCCGCCUUGCCACUGCCAAACAUACAAGCAGUUAUUCCCACUACUCCUUGGGUUACUUAGCUUAUUCUUGCAAUGACAAUCAUCAUUUUAUACAAGGUUGGAGAUUUUGAUUACGGAUUUGCUCCAAUUGUUUAGAUUUAACAUGUGUGUCCCUUGUAAAACUAGUUAAUAUUUAAGAAUGAAAUCGACUUAUUUUAACAAGUUGAUGUACUAAAUUUAACAGUUUUUGAGGGAAUAAUAUCAAAAUUUUCCCAAUUGCUAAUAUCAAUUCAAGAAAAAAGAUACACUGAAAGUUAUACCUUUUUUUUUUUUCACAACUUGUGUUUUUGCAUUGUAGUUGGCCCAAUCGAGUGCUAUCUCAAGUCAACAAUACUUUGUUACACAAUAACAUAUACAUCAAAUUUCAUAACUUACUGGCUAUGAUUCCUGAAAAAAAAAAAAUUUAUUGGUGCAUUUAAAAAUGUUGGGAAGAGAAUAUCCAGCACUCCUUAGAGUCGAGCCAUAAGCAUGUUGUACAAGUGCUAUGUGAGUGAGAUGCUCAAAAUUUUUGUGGACUUUUUUGUAUGUGUGGCCGGACGGGCAAACAAAGAGCAAUGUUAUAUAUACAAAAUUUCACAAUAUUUUUUUUUUAUAUCAGUUAAGUUCACAAAUUUUUAUUAAUUUUCAUUAGAUUCCAUCUGGACAUUAUUUUUGGGCCUCACCCAAAAAUUUUCUUUCCUUCCCUCCUUACCCAACAACGCAUAAACCCUUUUUUUUUUUUUUUUUUAAAAUUAUUUUCCAUCGACCCUAAAUCCUAUUCCAUCCCUAACCAAACAUAAAGAGCAGAAGUCAAUUUUUUUAUUUAUUUAUCUAAACACACUUUCUUUUGUAAAGAAAGAGCAGAAGUCAUAUAUAUUUUUUUGUCUGAUAGAUUUUCUCGUAAAAAUAGAGCUGUCCUCUGUAUACUAAUUUAUUUUUUGGGUUGGGAUGCAAAUUACAAAUACAACACCAACGCAGCACUAGUCCUUACAGUUACAGGAAGCACUUUAUGGUCAUGGAUCCUACUCCUACACAUAGAUGCACGGUUCAGCGGCCAUUCUUUCUUCUUCAUCCCACGCACCACCACCACCACCUCUGCCACCACCAUCACCACCACUUCUUAUGUUUCUGUCCCCACCACCACCACCAUCACCACCACCACUUUAAUGGUCAUCCCCAUCUAUGCCCCACUCUUAUUUCACCUUUUCCUCGAAACCCAGAAGCUUCAAAUCCUGUUCCUCUGCCAAACCAUUCCAAUUUGGAGACUUCUGCUUCUGGCUGUGAACAAUCUUAUGCCACUGCCAAUCUGUAAGUUUUGCUCCAACCCACUUCUACUCCUCUCAAUAUAAUGAUAUAUAUAUAUGUUUGUAUUUUAUUGUAUUCAUGCCAUCAUACUCAAACUCUUGCAAGUAACACCAUAAGCUCCUCAUAAAAAAAAAAAAAAAAAAAAAACCAAAAGGUCUUAUGAGAAAGAAAUUUCAUUAAUUUGAGGUGCGUUUUGUCAUGGAACAUUAGAUAAUUUGCCACUGACUGAGUUUGAAAUUUUUUGGACUGAUGGGUAUAUUUAGAUGAUUGAAAAUUGACAAGGUGGUAUUUGGACAUCCUGAUUCGGGUAACUACUCUAUAGUCUAUACACCGAAAUGAGGACUCAGUUUUAGUGUCUGGCAACAAACUUUUUAGUUUAGUUGCUUAUGGAAAGUUUUUUAAAACUCACACCUUGUCUAGAGUAAUUACUAGGUUAUCCCGGAGCUCUCUGACCAUAAAUUUCAGAGGAGGAAACACCACUUAACCAUGCUCCGUGCUCCUAGAGCACCUGAUAAUUUUUCAUUUUUCUAGGUACAUCUAUGCUUUAACUAAUUUUCAGCAAAAAAAAACUACAACCAAACGCACUUAACGAGGUCAAUUGAUGAAUUUUUUAUGAGGUCUUUGUUGUAAGUUUUUAUUUUUUAGUUGGUAUGUGAUCCACACUAUUGUUCUUGUGGUGGAGGAAGUGCCAUUUGAGCCAAAGCUAAUUUGCCCUUGUUGUAAGUCUUUUCCAACAACUAAAACUUGUAUUAGUUCCUGUAAGAGAGCUUAUGAUUUUGAACUUGAAUGACUAUCAAUGAGACUUAAUAACACUUCUCCUGUUUCUCAAUUAAAUUUCCAUGUUUGUUUGCUUGCCAUGAAAUUGAAAGUUUGGCUCUUCGGAUUUCUCAUUAUCUUGGGUGUUGAAAAACUAAAACCACAAUUUGAGAAAGCCUAUCACAACUGUUUGGCCUACUUGGUUUAGUUUUUUCAAACUUAUCUGAGAUUUUUAUUUUUUUAUUUUUUUUAAAAUUUUUGGAAUUUAUUUGUUAAUUAGACUGUGUUACCCCUUUUUUCUGUUCUAUAUGAACAACAAUAACCACCAAACCUUACUCCCAAGAUUUGGGUAAGGCAAAAUAUGGAUCCUCAACAAAUCAGUAAGGACUGACCACAUGUAUUCUUUUCCACCAUUCUAUUCAAUCCGAAGUCAUACUCUUUGUUACUUCCUUAAUUGACAUCUUUUUUUAAUAUAAAAUGUGACAAAAGUCUUCAAUAUUGUAUUGCUUAUUAUUUUUUCAAUGUCAGUGAUGCUCAACCUCUCUCAUUGGCAUGAACACAUCCAUUUUUCUGUUCUACACCAAAAGCGUCCUACUUUAAAACACUAAUUUCACAUUAUUUAUUCUCAUCCAAAUUAGCCAUUCUUGAUUUGUUAAAAUAGGAUGUUACAAGAACAGGAGCAUGAAGGAUUAGAAGAGGAAGAUGAUGAUGAGCCAGUUUUUGUUCUGACUGAUGAAUGGAGGGAAUUCUUUGCAAAAUCCGAAGCAAAGAGGAAAUUAGGUACUGGCUUUUCCCCUCCAUUUUUUGUAUUCUUGGAAAUUAGUUUGUUUUAAUUUGCAUUUAUGUCCUGCAGCAAAGAAGCAGGCUAAGAAGAAUGGGAAGAAAUAA
rnacentral:sRNA from 1 species